rnacentral:lncRNA from 1 species
CAUAAGGCUACUCUCCAUGAUGCCAUAAGGCUACUCUCCAUGAUGCCAUAAGGCUACUCUCCAUGAUGCCAUAAGGCUACACUGCAUAAUGCCAUAAGGCUACUCUCCAUGAUGCCAUAAGGCUACACUGCAUAAUGCCAUAAGGCUACUCUCCAUGAUGCCAUAAGGCUACACUGCAUAAUGCCAUAAGGCUACUCUCCAUGAUGCCAUAAGGCUACACUGCAUAAUGCCAUAAGGCUACUCUCCAUGAUGCCAUAAGGCUACACUCCAUGAUGCCAUAAGGCUACUCUCCAUAAUGCCAUAAGGCUACUCUCCAUGAUGCCAUAAGGCUACACUCCAUGAUGCCAUAAGGCUACUCUCCAUAAUGCCAUAAGGCUACUCUCCAUGAUGCCAUAAGGCUACUCUCCAUAAUGCCAUAAGGCUACACUCCAUUGUGACAUAAGUCUACACUUCAUAGUGACAUAAGGCUACAUAAGGCUACACUCCAUAAUGCCAUAAGGCUACACUCCAUAAGGCUACACUCCAUAAUGCCAUAAGGCUACACUCCAUAAUGCCAUAAGGCUACACUCCAUAAUGCCAUAAGGCUACACUCCAUAAUGCCAUAAGGCUACACUUCAUUAUGACACAAGGCUACACUCCAUUAUGACAUAAGUCUACACUCCAUAGUGACAUAAGUCUACACUCCAUUAUGGGAUAGAUCAUAUGGAGAAGAGUCAUGCAACCAAAAUGACAGUUUUUUUUUUUACCCUGGUAGAAAGGGCCUCUAUUGACCACGCCUCCGAAAAAAAGAACAUUUUGUUCAACAGUCAGAACUUCAGAGGUCGUCUUCGUUUGCUUUGGAAACCACGUGUUCAGAUUAAGUAACAUUGGAACAAUGCUUCGAAGUCAGUUUCCCAACUUUUCACACGUUUUGUGAAAUCGUGUAAUGUACACAUUGGUUUACUGCUACAGCCGUCUGCGCCAUACUGGUGUCCCAUUCUAGUCUAAUUGUAUUACAUUGUUGGCUUUAGGUUUAGUUUAAAUUAAAUGUCAGUUUUGAAUGUUUACAACACAAAAUAUUAUGCCAGAGUAACAGGAUUUUCGCGUGUAGGCCUUUAUUAAUCAAACAUUGUUUUUAGUCUAAAUGUAUAUAAUUUAAAUUCGUAUUGCAGACACACUUUGCGCAAACUUAGAAAUGAUUAGAUAGGCUUAUCUUGCAUGUAGUAGGGCCCACACCUUAAUGUAUUCCUCAAAUAAAAUAAUAACAACAAUUUAGACUUUUCUUGUAUGAAAUUGCAUUUGUUAAAAAAAAUGAAGUUUGUAUUUUCGAAAUAUUGUUGUUUUGAUGGUAUAUUUUAUUUUUGUAUCACUCUUAUGUAUUUAUUUGGUAGUGGUAGAAAUAAUUCUAUUUAUUUAUUUAAACAAUAGUUGUCUUCAUAUUUGAACACUUUGCAGCUAAAAUAAGUCUGAAAUCUAAAAUGAAAAAAAGGCAGUAAUACAAAACUUUAUUAAAAAGAAAGUAAUUGUCAUUCUCACUAAACAACAAACCUUG